rnacentral:lncRNA from 1 species
GACAUUGUCCUGCAGUGGGACAGCCUGGCUCCUCCUCCCUUUUGUCUGCUGUGUCUUUGGAGAGGCAAGCUGCCUUCCACCCAGCACACCUGCUGCACAACACCAGGGUCUCCCAUUCAGAAGAGAAAGAAAAUGCCCAAGAGAGGGAAAAAGAUCAAAAGAAAUAUUUUGUUUCCAGGGUAGGUAUGGCCACAGGAACAAGGAAGUAGAUAAUGUGGUUGAAGUUUAUAGGUGGUGGGGCUGGGGAGAGGGGGACCUAAUUUUUAACAAGGAAUUUUUAAAAAUCUACUUGUUAUAGUUCAAAUACAGUUUGUUCCCUCCAAAAUUUAUGCUGAAAUUCAUUGUCAUUGUGGCAGUGUAGGGAGGUGGGGCCUUUAAGAGGUAAUUAAGUCAUUAAGAGGGAUUAAAGCCUUCUCAAGGGAAUAGGUUCAUUCUUGCAAGAGCAGGCUGUUCUAAAGCAAGGCCACCUCUCAUGUUUUAUCUCCUUCACAUGCAGCCACUUGCCCUUCUGCUUUCCACCACGAGGUGAAGCAGCCCAAGACCCUCCCCAAAGCAGAGCUGCCUUACCAUGUUGAUGGUGUUUGGAUGUGGAGUUUGUGAGAGCUAAUUAGUAUCAGAUGAGGCCAUGAGGUGGGUGGGGGGGAUGCACUGAUGGCAUCAGUGCUUUCUAAGAAGAUGAAGAGAGUUAGUACUCUUGCUCCAUGGCACACGUGAUCCCCUUCAUCAUGUGAUAAGACCUCAAGAAGGCCCUCACCAGAUGCUGGCACCAUGAAUUUGGACUUCCCAGGCUCUAGAACUGUGAACUAAAUAAACAUAUUUUCUUUAAAAAUGACUCAGACUAAGAUAUUCCAUUAUAGCAAUAUAAAAUGGACUAAGUCUUUUGCCAUUUUGCCUUCUUGGACUACUGAGCCAUGAUUUUGUUUGGGAAAGUGUUAGAAAUUAAACCCACACUACUAUCUUAGUUUGUCUUCGAAAGUUAAACAAGAGAGAAAAGAAGAACAAUCUGGGUCUUUGAAAGAUCUUUUUCCAGACAGGCAGUAGAAAAUAUGCCUUGAUAUGCUGGCUAUCUCCCCAAGAAGUCUGGGAACAAGAAGUUUGUCUAACUCAGAAUUUCUUUGUUAGUUAACUAAUCUGGUGAGGUUUUAUUUCCCUAACUUUUGAAAAUUAUUCUCCUACUGAUUCCCUUUAUGUUUCCAUGUUACUUUUGAUAAAAAGAAGCUGUCCUCUGUGCAAUUUUAAGAGAAAGAUAGCACUUUCAUUUUGUAGGAAAAACUAUUUUUUUCAUCAAGUUGCCAACUAAGAACAUAUAGUAAACAUUUAAAUUCUCCAGUCUUAAAGAUUACUGGCACUGUAAAACAUUCAUGAAGAAAAAAAUAAGAAAAAGAAAAAGCUCUGACAUCAGCAGAUGUAUUUCCAAAUUUCGAUUCUGCCACACAGUGACUUUGGGCAAGUCAUGAAACUUUUGUAAAUAUCUGUUUGUCCAUCCCUAAAAGAUAAGGCUAGUAAUAAAUCUGUUGCAACAGCUCAUAUUGCUCUAGGUAACAAAAAAUAAAUUGCAUCAAGGCAGAAACUAUGUAUUCAUUUUCUUCCUUUUAAUUCAAAAAAUGCCUUCAGGAGACUCAGUUUAAUUGGCAUCUGCUGUGUCUUGAAUGUGUCUCCCUACAAAAUUCAGGUAUUGCCAAGGUAAGGCCUUUAAAAGGUUCUUCGGCCACAGGACUCCUCUCUUAGGAAUGGGAUCAGUUAUCUUUAUAAAGGGCUUGAUGGAGGAAGUUCAUCCUUUUUUACCUCUCUACAUUCUACCAUAUGAGGAUGCCACAUUCUUUCUUUUUAGAAGGCACAGUAUUCAAGGCACCUCUUGGCAGAAGAAACCCAUGAACCUGACAGACCAUGAACCUGCCAGCCCACAGAUAGUGGACUUCUCAGCUUCGAGAACUGUGACAAAUAAAUUUCUGUUCUUUAUAAAUAACCUAGUCUGUAAUAUUUUGCCAUAGUAGCACAAAUAGACUAGGACAGUAUCCUUAAUAGUACUCAGUCCAGCCAGCCCUGUAGCAGGCAUUAUGACAAAUGACAAAGAACCGGAAAACUGAACCUAUGUCUCAGAAGAACAGUCCUUCUAUUGAGGAGAGGAAAUAUAUAAAUAAUAUGAACUAGCAAACAAUCAGAGCACAUAUACACAAGUUAUUAGAUGUUUUGGUAUAAACAGCAGGUACCAAGAAAGAGGAUGAGAAAGAGAUGGUUUUAUUUAGGCCUUUAUUACAUAUAAAAAUCUUAGUAGCAAAAGAAAAACUGCUAUAAAAAUAAACAAAUCCAUGGGACUUGCUUAAUCAGAAGAAUAUGGUUUAAGAUUUGAAGGUAGAAGUGAACAGAGCACAUGUCUUCUGGAAACUAACCUAGCCGGAGCGGACAGGCUCACUGAGGAAUAUGGCUCGAAAAAGUAUAUUGGGACCAAUUGACAGAGCCUUGAAUAUUAGCUUAACUAACAUAAAAGAGAAUGAAAACAGAAUUUUGGAGAGGAUUUUACUAUUCAGGGUCAAAGUUUAGUUCUGGAACUUGGUUGGACUCAGGGAGUGGAGGUGAUUUGGGUUGUUUGUGCUUACCGAGUGCUUCCUUCUAAGGUACACACUCCACGUCGAACACUCCUCUACCCACAGAUGGUUUGAUAAAACCAGUUUACCUAUGGGUGGUUUGAUCCAUAUUAACUAAACUCAGGAAAGACUGGUGCAUAAAAGCCAAUUUAAUUAAUUUCAAAAUUUAGAAAGUUACAAAUAAUCAUUAAAAUGAAGGUGGUAUAUGUAUAUUAAAUAACUCAACUUUUCUAGCUUCUCUCGAAUAGGAGGAUAAUUCUGGAAAAUGAAACCAAUAUCAUAAAACGUAUUGAUCAUCCAUCGACUGAGUAUUUGCUAAGCCUAUACUAAGUGAGAAGCACUUUGGUGAGAAACUGCAGGGUCCUGCUGAGAUCUGACAAUGGUUUAUGACAUCGGAGAUGGAAGAAGUAGGCCUCAGGAGAUGGGCUAAGAACAGAAGACAAGAUCUAAGACAUGAAGGACUCUGUAUGUUCUGUGAAGGAGCACAGGUGUCUUUCUUUCUAUAAUCACAAGGCCCUGCAAUAUUUCAAUAAAUUUGGAAAAUUUAUUAA